GGUUUCGUGGCCCAAUGGCAAGGCGCUUGACUACGAAUCAAGAGAUUGUGGGUUCGAUCCCCACCGAAACCU
rnacentral:tRNA from 2 species